UCUCCUCAUUUCAUCUGCCUCCUCCCUCUCUCUAUACUUCUCUCUACCCUUCUUUCUCUUUCUCUAAGACCUCUUCACCAUCAAUGGCGUCGCCGCCGCUGCUCAAUCGUCGCCACCAUCAUCUCUGUGCAACCACCAAAUGGCGACCAACCAAACAGUCCACGCGUCGGUGCCCGUCGAGGGACCCGUCCGGCGAAACAGCCGCCUUUUAAAGAAUGAGUUUCAAAGAAAGAAACAAGAAAUAUUAGCCGCUCAAAGUGCAUCAAUUGUGGAAGGGGAUAAGAAAGGAAUUAUACUUGUUGAUGAAGCAUGUAUAUAAGAAAUCAUCUGCAAAUGAUGAACACCCAUCUCAAGAAGACAACCAAGCUUAUGAGGAUGAAAGUGAUGGUGACACUGACGACGUGAAUGAAAUUGAUAAUCCUGAUAAUGUGAAUGAAAGUGAUCUGAUCCUGAUUGUUGGUAGUUUUAAUGAGGAUUCAAGUUUAAAAUAUUUUGUUUUGGACCAUUUAAGAGUUAUACAUUAUUGAUGUGGAUGUUUUGAAUUCUUUUUUGUUAGCUGUAAGGGUUUACAUUAGAUUUGUAUUGAACGAUGUUUUUGAGAAUUAUUGAAGGUUUUGAAUAGAUUUUUGAUUAAUUGUGAAA